UACGGAGGAGGCAAGCGUUUAUCCGGAAUUAUUGGGCGUAAAGCGUCCGUAGGUGGCUCUCUCAAGUCUGCGGUCAAAGACCGGGGCUCAACCCUGGAAAGGCCGUGGAAACUGGUGAGCUAGAGUGCGGUAGGGGCAGAGGGAAUUUCCGGUGGAGCGGUGAAAUGCGUAGAGAUCGGAAAGAACACCAACGGCGAAAGCACUCUGCUGGGCCGACACUGACACUGAGAGACGAAAGCUAGGGGAGCGAAUGGG
rnacentral:rRNA from 1 species